AAGGCAGCUAUGCAAAUGGAAAAUUGCAGUGUUGUGUGAUAGCGACCUUGCUCUGGGUAAGUGCUGGGCUCUGGAUGAGCCAUGAAGCCAAAGGACUUCCAGAAGAAGAAACAAAUGAGGCCAAAGGCACAUGAGGUAAGCCUUGCCAAUAGCUAGAAAUAGGUAUAUUCUAGGAGGAGGACACACCAGUGAAAUGACCAAAAAAGGUAGAGAAGGCAGUGCAUGUUAGGGAAAUGAAGUAAAGCCCAGGAGGCUCGGCUGUGGAAAGAUGGGAGAGCCAUGAUGAGUAAGGAUAACACAGAGUUGCUUGGCUUGAGUGGCUGUCACGUAUGUGGUUGCUACACUUGGGCAUCAACAGAACUUCCUAGUCUGACAGGAAGACCACGUAGAGGCCAUUGCCUGGAUCCCAAUGAAGCAGAAUAACACCAUUGGUCAGAACUAGAAUUCUGGUGGCCUGGCUAGAUAUUUCUGUAGCUUACUGUAUGCCUCCACCAAAUUCAUGUUGAAUUGAAUCCCCAUUGGGAUAAUUACCAGACAGGCCAUGUGGGAUUAUGAAAGAUGGGUAGGUCCUCCCACUUAAUGGACAGUGAGUUGUCUCAGAUGCUCUGGGGGUGAGGAGGAGAAGUGGGAGAGGAGGAGAGAGUGUGUGUGAACUAGCAUGUGUUACAUUAUUAAAUGCACAUCCUAACCUGGAGGAAACUGAUUGUAUCCACAUCAUGGUGUGGAGGCACGGAGGAGAACAGGGCUUUAAUAACGUAUCUAUGUUUGUCCAGCUAGGAAGAGACUGGACUUGGAUCUCAGAUCCACCUGAGUUGAGGUGAGAGAUUCUAGCUACAGUGAUGGCGCCCUUCCCCCUUCAGCUCACCCUUCUCUUCUCCAAGUCCCAAGACAAAUUUCAGGGUUAUGGAAACAGUUCCGCAAGAUGAAAGACUUUUCCUAUCUAUAGGCAAAGCUAGCGUGGACGCCUUCCAUCCUGAUUUUCUGGCAGUUUCAACAUGACUGCCACCUCAUAAUCCAAGACAGCAGGUAAGACCAAGCCUGCGUCCCAGCCUGUGGAAGGGAAGACGCAUCAAGGGAGGCACCAGCUUUCUCUAAGUUACACACAGAUUGUUGCUUGUAGCUUUUGACUAGAAAUUAGGCACUUAGUGAGAGUCAGCAGCAAGUGAGUCUGAGAAGUAAUGAGAAUUCAUGGAGCCAACUAUUCAUGGAGGCUGUUUCUAAGGAAGGAAGAUAAGGCACCCGAAGAGCCAUGGUCUCUGUCAUCGGAAUCCCUCUAAGAACCGAGGUGAGGUAAAUUCCUCUCAGAGCUGGACAUAUAAUUAAUCAUCCCAGUUAGGAUGCCUGGUGAGACCAAAAGUACCAAAACGGCUGAGCAGGUAUGAGCUGACUUGGAGUGGUUCCAGGACCUCCCUGUGAAUGGUGGAGUAUAAAGUCACCUCAAUAUAGAGGUCUCCUCUGUGAGUGGGUCGGUGAAGGUUGUUCCUACUGUAAACCCAGGGAAGAUGGCUUAGCCUUCCUCCUGGGGUACAUGUAUGCUCACCCUACACCCAACCCCAGCACAGAGCUGAAUGCUCUUUUUCAGAAGUACCAGUAUCUUCGCCUUAGGCACAUGUCUUCAAAGGCCAGCGGCACUGUCUACUGACUGCUUUGUACAUGGUAACUGUUUAACUUAUCCCCGAGUCUUUCUGCAGCCUUCGGAGUCCUGCAAGGAAGGAAGUAUGACCAUGUGCAACUGUGGUGAGCCCAUGGAGGCUUAGGGAGAUCAGGAGAUCUGCCCAAAGUCACUCCACAAAUAUCAGGAUCUGGUGCCCGCUGAGCUCUGCUUUGGUCACAGUUCUCUCAGACUCUGUCCCCAGUUUGGGGGGACACUCACUGCUAGCCUGUCUUCCCCAGGGUAUGAGCUAGGCUGCCUCAUCACUUGGGAAACCAUCUUGCACUUUCCAGGGGAUGCUCCUCUGAGUUAAAUCAAAUCUCCUCGGGGCUCCACACCCUCCCCUCUCCCCUGUACCAUUCUUCACGAGCCAUCAGGGUUUCUAUUCCUGUGCAGCCUCCUAGAUUUAUCCUUAGGUUCAUCGUGGACCUCAACCAACUGGACCAUCUCUGUGGCCUUCCCCAGGGGAGAAAUCAAGCAUGAGACAUGAACAAGGACCAAGAAUACAGGAGCAGAGAGGAAACUAAUUGAGGGUUGAUUCUGAUGAAUAAAUGCCUGGUCGCCGCCUUGAGAAAUGGACCACGCCGGCAGAUGGCUGGGGCUUGAGAAACGGUCACGGCCUUCCGAGGGGCCCAUCAAUAAUAGAUCGGCUCCAGCCCUGGGAGAGGGAAGCGUUUCUGCGGCAGGACGAUUUGUGUCAUUUUCUUCUAUGUGGUGACGGCGAUACAUAAUAUACCUCCUUCCUCAUGACAACGUCGUCUUCAUAAGACGGGUGAUGUGGGAUUCCUCCACCUCGAGGCCUGUGAUGUCAUGUUGGUAGCUUGCCAUUGGCCAUGGCAGCAACAUUUACACCAAAGGUAUUGGCAAAUGCUGCUAGGCAGCACUCCCCUCCCCCAAGCUGGUUGCUUAACUUUCAAGAGCACACA
rnacentral:sRNA from 1 species